GCCUUCGUGGUGUAAAGGCCAGCACACUCGGCGCUUAUAUUCGAGAGGACCGAGGUUUGAAUCCCGGCAAGGGCA
rnacentral:tRNA from 1 species